UAAGAAGGAUGAGAGUUGGAGGAUUUGUGUAGAUAGCCAUGGCAUCAACAAAAUUACGGUGGGCUAUAAAUUCCCAGUUCCUAGAUUGGAUGAUAUACUAGAUCAAUUACCUAGUGUUAGAUAGUUUACCAAGCUAGAUUUGAAGAAUGGAUACUAUCAAAUACGCAUAAGACCUGGUGAUGAAAUGGAAACAACAUUCAAGACAAAGGAGG
rnacentral:misc_RNA from 1 species